CACUGAGUGUAGUUGCUUAAGGC
rnacentral:piRNA from 1 species